ACUUUUUUCUGAGGAAAAUUCUUUAAUUUGUCCACAUUUAGAAGAAGUUUACUUAUUUUUAAUUGCUUGCUUCCAGGAAGCAAUUCGCCGACAUAUUUCCGUAUGCAUAGUGACCCGAGCGUAACCCUCCUCGUAAAAAUCCGGUAAUCGCAAUACGCAUGGAUCUGUAUUGAAAUAAACAAAUAUCUGAGUAUACAUGUUAAACACGUGCUCAAUACCCAUGCUUUUUGUGAUUUGUUUACUAUAAGGUGACAAUCGUUAAAACUCGGCUUCAAAACACGGCAUUUAAUGAGCAGCCAUAUUUUUUAAAUCAUAACAAACAGAGAGAAAAAAA
rnacentral:lncRNA from 1 species